GGAUAGUUGGGGGCAUUCGUAUUCCGUCGUCAGAGGUGAAAUUCUUGGAUUGCCGGAAGACGAACUAUUGCGAAAGCAUUUGCCAAGGAUGUUUUCAUUGAUCAAGAACGAAGGAAGGGGGAUCGAAAACGAUCAGAUACCGUUGUAGUCUCUUCUGUAAACUAUGCCAAUUGGGGAUUAGCUCAGGAUUUUUAAUGACUGAGUUAGCACCCGAAGAGAAAUCUUUAAAUGAGGUUCGGGGGGGAGUAUGGUCGCAAGGCUGAAACUUAAAGGAAUUGACGGAAGGGCACCACCAGGUGUGGAGCCUGCGGCUUAAUUUGACUCAACACGGGGAAACUCACCAGGUCCAGACACAAUAAGGAUUGACAGAUUGAUAGCUCUUUCUUGAUCUUGUGGUUGGUGGUGCAUGGCCGUUCUUAGUUGGUGGAGUGAUUUGUCUGGUUAAUUCCGAUAACGAACGAGACCUUAACCUGCUAAAUAGACCAGCCGGCUUUGGCUGGCUGCUGUCUUCUUAGAGGGACUAUCAGCGUUUAGCUGAUGGAAGUUUGAGGCAAUAACAGGUCUGUGAUGCCCUUAGAUGUUCUGGGCCGCACGCGCGCUACACUGACAGAGCCAGCGAGUCUACCACCUUGGCCGGAAGGCCUGGGUAAUCUUGUGAAACUCUGUCGUGAUGGGGAUAGAACAUUGCAAUUAUUGUUCUUCAACGAGGAAUACCUAGUAAGCGUGAGUCAUCAGCUCGCGUUGAUUACGUCCCUGCCCUUUGUACACACCGCCCGUCGCUACUAC
rnacentral:rRNA from 1 species